UUUGAUCAGUGUCCCUGUAUAUAGUACGGGGGUGUUUGGCUCAAUUUUUGAGCAAUUUGACAAUCCAUUGACAAGAACCUGUAUCAGCACUAUACCAAAUCUGUUGAGGAACCCUGACUCUAAGCAUUAUUGGCAAUGUUAUAUUAGUUUAUAAUAAACAAUUCUUCUCUUUCCCAAUGCAUGUAUGUAUUGUUAAUAGGUAUUGCAUAUUUCUGUCUUCUCAUGUUUGUGUUCCUUGACUCCUGUCCUUGUGCAUCUUUGUCUCUUUUCUCUCCAAAGCCUUUCUCUCCUCCUCAUACACACGUACGCAUAUGUCUAACUUUUGCUGUUUCUCGUUCCUUUGCUAGGUCUCUCACAUGUCCUCUCUCUUUCUUGUGUUAACACAGUUUUAGUAUCAUACAUUGGUAUAUUACAGACAUUGUCACUUGCUGCAAUGUGGGAACAGGAAUGCAAAUAAAAUGCUAAAGAAUUGUAGCAGAUAUGUCUAACAAAGUAACAUUAAUGCUGUGUUGCAUUGGCUGAAGCAUAAUGAUGUGCCUCAAUCUUGCAAUGUACCUCUAUCUUGCAAUGGACCAAGGUACUACUGAUGUCAUCACAUAAUGAGUCUUACAUAAUUCAAGUAAGCUCCAGU